rnacentral:rRNA from 1 species
UGACCGAGCAACGCCGCGUGGGUGAUGACGGUCUGUGGAUUGUAAAACCCUUUUGUGAGGGACGAAUUCUGACGGUACCUCACGAAUAAGGAUCGGCUAAUUCCGUGCCAGCAGCCGCGGUAAUACGGGGGAUCCAAGCGUUAUUCGGAAUUAUUGGGCGUAAAGCGUACGUAGGCGGUUUGCCAAGUCUGGGGUUAAAGCCCGCAGCUUAACUGCGGAUCGGCCCUGGAAACUGGCAGACUUGAGUAUGGUAGGGGCAAGGGGAAUUCCACAUGUAGCGGUGAAAUGCGUAGAUAUGUGGAGGAACACCUGUGGCGAAAGCGCCUUGCUGGGCUGUAACUGACGCUGAGGUACGAAAGCCAGGGGAGCA